rnacentral:rRNA from 1 species
UACAGAGGUGGCAAGCGUUGUUCGGAAUUACUGGGCGUAAAGGGCGCGUAGGCGGUUCGUUAAGUCCUGUGUGAAAUCCCCCGGCUCAACUGGGGAACUGCACAGGAAACUAGCGGGCUUGAGUUCGGGAGAGGGAAGCGGAAUUCCGGGUGUAGCGGUGAAAUGCGUAGAUAUCCGGAGGAACACCGGUGGCGAAGGCGGCUUCCUGGACCGAGCACUGAC